rnacentral:rRNA from 1 species
UAAGGAAUAUUGGACAAUGGACGCAAGUCUGAUCCAGCCAUGCCGCGUGAAGGAUGAAUGCCCUCUGGGUUGUAAACUUCUUUUAUAGGGGAAGAAAGAUACUUUUUUUAAGGUAGUUGACGGUACCCUAUGAAUAAGCACCGGCUAACUCCGUGCCAGCAGCCGCGGUAAUACGGAGGGUGCAAGCGUUAUCCGGAUUUACUGGGCGUAAAGCGUACGUAGGCGGAUGCGCAAGUUGGGGGUGAAAUCCCGGGGCUUAACCUCGGAAUUGCCCUCAAAACUGCACGUCUUGAGACCGAGAGAGGUAAGGGGAAUUCCUAGUGUAGAGGUGAAAUUCGUAGAUAUUAGGAAGAACACCAGUGGCGAAGGCGGCCAUCUGGACCAGUACUGACGCUGAGGCACGAAAGCGUGGGGAGCAAACA